UAAAUUAGAUUUCGUCUUUCUCGAAAAUAACUUUCAUUCUCACACCGUGCCCAUGCUUCAUCUUCUUCUUGACCAGAAUCACUGCGAGCAUGGUGGCGACGGUACUGGUGCGGCCAGCUCCACUCUCCACUCCUUCUUCUUCUUCUGCACCUUCGUCAAAUGGUUGAAGCUGUCGUCAUUCAGAUCUCCGUCAUCGACGACAGUAGUUGCUUCUGGCCUCACCGACACCGUUGUGAGCUCCCUCCCUUUCUUCAUUCGAUUUUUUCAUCUGGUGGGAGGGGUUUUGCUCUUCCUUCUUCAUUCUUCCCAAAUCUGGUUCCCUAUGGAGGAUCUAGCGAGGCGUGUCACCGCAUUCGGUAUCAGUCAGAGUAAUCGUCGUGCGAUGCAAUAUAGGGUUUUCAUCCUCCCUUUCUUCUGCUAGUAAAUUUAAAUUUGAUUUGAGUAUAAUGUGAUGGUGAAAAGGAUAUAGAUUUGGUAAUGGAGACAGAGAGAAAAGAAAACCGUGUUCCUUUUGUGAUAUCCUCUGUCAUGGCUUCCUUGGUUUUCUUGUUCAACAUUCUAAUUUUUUUUUAACAUUCUUCCAUAUAUUUUAAAGUAUGAAUGAAUUCAUAAACUUGGUUUUGUUUUUUGCAGCUCAACAUCAAUCACGGUAUUGAAUAAUAAUUCUUAUUAGAUAAAAAGAGAUAAGGUAUUGAAUAAUAAUGCUUAUCAGAUAAAAAGAGCUAAGGUAUACUAAUUAUUAUUAUGCAAGACAUAUUGACAAACUGGUUGUGUUCAAACUAUGUGGUUAAUCUCAUUUUACAAUGGUAGUUUAAAAAAAGACUGGGAGUUUCUCCUAAUGCCAGUGGGAAAGUGAAGAUAAAGAUAUCAAAGAAGGAGUUGGCAUAACUUUAUGAGAAGCAACACCAGAGAGCUUCUGCAGAACAAGUUCUGCUUCGCUUGAUAAAAGCCAGAAAUGAUGUUAAAGUAAAGGUCCUGUAUAACGAGCUUAAUCUUAAGGUUUGAACUUCAUCUACAUCUACCCCAUUAAUAAUUCCAUAGCCUUCUUUUCUUUGCAUCACUUGGUUUCUGUCUUCUCAAAAGUUUAUGUUAAAGAAUAUUUUUUUUUAACAUCAGUCAGUAUUUUAUUUUAAAAUGUACAUUAAUUAUAUCAGUAAUAUGAACCUAAGGAACUAAUUAUUGAAAUGUUAAAUGUGCUUAUGCCUUAUGUUGAAUUAAAGGGGCAAAUUACAGGUUAUAAAUUAUUUUAUAAAUAGUGGUAUGGGUGUAGAUUUUAUAUAUACCUAAGUAUGUUUCUAGGAUGCAAUAGUCUCUGUUUGCAUGUCUCUGAUAGAGUGCAGAUUCAAUAUUUUGAUAAAGAAAGUAACAAAGAAUGUAUUGAAAUAUGUAGCAUUUCUCUUUUUUAUUAGGAACCCUUAAGUGAAUAGUUUUUUUAUUGGCCGGUUUCUUAUGUAGUUAAUGAGUUUAUAUCAACUUAUCUUUUUCAAGUUUUAACAGAGAUUAUUGAGAAUGUUGUCUUAUACAGAGAUUGAGCAGUUGAAGGUUGAUUUGCAGAAGCAAGAAUUUGUUGUUUCUGAAUACAGGGAUGAGAUCAAAUAGAUUGUCCAGUGAUGUGGAAAGCAUCCCAAAGGUUGAGGCUGAUCUUCUGGAAAUGAAAAGGGAAGGGAAUCAGUUAGAACAAUUCUUAACUGAGAGCAAUAACAUGUUACAAAAAUUUACAGUACAUAAUAACAAGCAAGAGAGAUCAGAAUUACAUGAAAAAUUUAAAUAAAUUUAUGAUAAAAAUGUUAAUGAUUGUUUAAUCUGUCAUAAACUUGAACACGAGAAUAUAACAUCAGAUCAAAACUCAAAUACAACAUUGUAUAUGUUAUUAAUAGUUGUUUAAUAUCUAAAAUAUGUCUUAAAUAUAUGGAUAAGCCAUUUUUAGUUAUUUUGCCUAUGUUUUCCCGUUUUGAUGGGAUGGUUUUUUUAUGAUAAAGGUUCACGUGACGUAUGUGACUUUAUUGCAACAUGCAUCUUCCUCCAAAAAGUAAUUAUACAUAAUGCAUUACAAGACUAUAAUUAUGGCCAACUUUCUAUUAUAUUGUUCUUUCGUUUAACUGUAUUUCUUUGUUGUUUCCCCCAUUUCCUUCGGCAAUGGGUGAGCUGUAUUGUUUGGUGAAAAUUACAUGCCAUCUUUCUGAUAUGGUCACAUCCUGUUCCCAAUUAUUCUGUGAGUAUGAUUUCAACUUCUAAGUAAAAACAGUGGAAAUAGCAGUUAAAAUAAGAGUUAUAUUUCAUUUCCAAACUCAGUAAUCUAGUGUGUAUAUAAAUAUGCAUUGAGAAUUGAAAGAUACACAAUCCACUACUGCUGAUUAAGUAAACACAGAAAUGGUAAGAUUUAAUUUCAAUUUUUUUAGAAAUGACAAGGUAUAAUGUGUCUUUGAAUAUGCACUCUACUUUUAUGACAAAUUGCAACAGCGGACCCUGAAGGAGUUAGAGAACAAGUGUAUAAUUUCAAAAAAGAAGAGGUAAACAGGUAUUUGAAAAAGGAAGCAUAUCAAAUGAUGGAAAAAAUGAAGAAGUACCAAAUGACGAAGUUAAUGAAAAAGUAUCAAAUGAAGAAGACAAUUGAAGAAGUACAAAACUAUAAUUAUUAUUCAUAACAUGUUAAUUUUAAUUUUUAAGAAACA